GAUGAACGCUGGCGGCGUGCCUAAUACAUGCAAGUCGAGCGAACAGACGAGGAGCUUGCUCCUCUGACGUUAGCGGCGGACGGGUGAGUAACACGUGGAUAACCUACCUAUAAGACUGGGAUAACUUCGGGAAACCGGAGCUAAUACCGGAUAAUAUAUUGAACCGCAUGGUUCAAUAGUGAAAGACGGUUUUGCUGUCACUUAUAGAUGGAUCCGCGCCGCAUUAGCUAGUUGGUAAGGUAACGGCUUACCAAGGCAACGAUGCGUAGCCGACCUGAGAGGGGGGUCGGGCCCACUGGGACUUGAACGCGGUCCAGACUUCGAAGGGAGGGCGCCGUGGGGAAUCUUCCGGCAAUGGCGGAAGCCCGACGGAGGAACGCCGCGGGGGUGACGAAGGUCUUCGGAUCGUAAAACCCUUGUAUUAGGGGAGAACCAAUGUGGAAGGUACUAUGCACGGCCUGACGGGACCUAAUCAGAAAGCCACGGCUAACUACGUG
rnacentral:rRNA from 1 species